rnacentral:tRNA from 1 species
GCCACUGUAGCUCAGCGGUCGCACGCGCCCAUGGUGAGUGCCGCUAAAGAGCGGCGGUUUCGUAAACCGCAGGCCGGGGGUUCGAAACCCUCCAGUGGCUCCA